UGAAAGAUAUUGAAAUUUGACAUUGAGUGAUAGAAUUAUUCUAUAUAUAAAGGAUGAAUGUUACUGUUACACUGUUGCUAAGAGUUGGAAAAGCCAUUUUUAUCCUCCACUGUUGGAGAAGAAUAUCAAGUUGCUAGAAAAGUCGUUUUCCUUGCUUUUGUUAGUGCUGAGAAAAGUUGUUUUCCUUGCUUAUUUCAGUGCAGGUUUAUAGGUUGUGAGUGAGACAGUGAGUUGCAUUACCGAAAGAAGAGAGAAGCAACAAAAGAGAGAGAUAGAAGAGAAAAGAAAGACGAACAGAAUAGAGGAAAAGAGGACAUCUCGGCGACAAGGUAUUUCUGAGAAUCGGAUUUGUGGUUUUCUCAGUGUUGGAUAGGCAUAACGAUCGGGGCAGGAAUUGGAAAAAACCCAAAGAAGAGAGAAGAAAGAAAAUAGAGAUAGAAUAGAGGAAAGGUGAAGAUCUGGGCAAAAAAAAGUAAAAAACCGAAAGAAGAGAGAAGAAAGAAAAGAGGGAUACAAGACAACCCAUUGCAAAGCCGAUCUGUCCUCUUUGGGAAGCCUCCAUCCGAAUCAAGGUUCAACUGACCUCAGAGUCGGUGAUCAAGAUCAAGAACAAGAACUGUGAGAACUUGUCUCCAUCAAAGUCCAAGCAAUCAAAUAGAAAAAAGGAGGAUGGGUCACUUUCAGUUUUUUUUUCUGCAAAAGGUAGACAUCAAUAUUUUGAUUCGUGAUUAGCUUCCGAAACGCAAGUUCUCAUUCUAUUCACCAACAAAGGGGUAUUAUUUGUGGUGGAGUUCGCGUCUUCGUUUUUUUGCUGCACAGAAACAGGGAAAGAGAUACGUUGAGUCUGCAACUCUGAUCGUGACUCUUUGACAGCCUGUCAGCUUUGUCUUCAUCGAUACCGCGAAGUUUUCAGAACUGGAAGGGGUACUUUAUCUGCUUUCAACAUGCUAGCAACAAUGGCUCGGUUUUGCUGGUAGUUGAUCGUUUGGCGGUAAACAGGGAUUUUGUUGUUCGCCCAACACAGAGGGACGAGACGAAACAAAAGAGAGAGAGAGAGAGGAGAACAGGCAAGAACGAAAAGAAGGAGAAGAGAGAGACGGGAAGCUCUUGCUUAGAUUGUACUUUUUGCGUUUUGAACAGCUCCAGUUUUUAACAAGAAGAUCGGGUUUGGAUUUCUCACUAGAACAACAUCACUGCAAGAAGGUUUUAGGAAUUGAUCCGUUGCCAUCUCACUAUGUGGACUUGCUGUUUACAGUGUUAUAAUUAUAGAUGUGAUUCUACUUCCUCUUUAUUUGUUUGCUAAGGCUGUUUUUUUUUUCUUUUUCCCUUUUGGUUCUUUGUUGAGGGUUUUGUUUUCUUCUUUAUCGUUAACAGAGUGACGAACUCAGUUUAUCAUGGGGCUUUGCAAUUCAGGUUUGAGCAUAUAAGCUUGGUGUCUAUUGGCUUGCUGGUGAAGUUUUCAGGGGCUUAAAAUUUAUCAGUCUUAUGUACAAUUGCAUGUUUACAGGGUCUCGAACUUGAUAUUGACCGGUUUGAUCUCUAGAAAGUAAAAUUACCGGCCAGGUUGGUAAACAUGAACAUGAAAUCCCUAUAUUUUGGUAACAGAUGGAUUCAAGUUGAGAACUUGAGAUCUAAACAUGGUCUUUGAUCUUUCAUUCUUUCAUAUAAUGCAGUUCAAGCUUGAUAUGCUGGACUGUUUGAAGAAAGGAUAUGUCUGCUGGAGCAAAUGACAACUUCCAAAACCAGUUUUGGGCUGGAAACCAAGAUAGUGGCAGCAUCCAUUCCUUUUAUGAUGUUGCUGCUAAUCCAGAUUCGUAUGGCAAAGGCACCAGAUUUUUGAGACAAGUAGAACAAUGUAUAAUGUAGUUUUACUAUAUCUAAUGUAUCUAUAACGUAAUUUCGAUGUAAAUUCAACCAUAUCAAUAGUAUACCCGCAGCACCGCGCGGGCAUUUUGCCUAAUAGGAAUAUAAAUGUGACAUUUGAAAUACCAUGCAA